CCUACGGGCGGCAGCAGUGAGGAAUAUUGGUCAAUGGACGAGAGUCUGAACCAGCCAAGCCGCGUGCAGGAAGACGGCCCUAUGAGUUGUAAACCUCUUUUGUACAAGGGUAAACCUGAAUACGUGUAUUCAGCUGAAAGUACUCGACGAAUAAGCAUCGGCUAACUCCGUGCCAGCAGCCGCGGUAAUACGGAGGAUCCAAGCGUUAUCCGGAUUUAUUGGGUUUAAAGGGUGCGUAGGCGGAUUGAUAAGUUAGCGGUUAAAUGUCCGAGCUUAACUCGGGAACUGCCUCUAAUACUGUCGUUCUAGAGUGUGGGUGCGGUAGGCGGAAUGUAUGGUGUAGCGGUGAAAUGCUUAGAGAUCACACAGAACUCCGAUUGCGAAGGCAGCUUACC
rnacentral:rRNA from 1 species